rnacentral:rRNA from 1 species
AGAGUUUGAUCCUGGCUCAGAUUGAACGCUGGCGGAAUGCUUUACACAUGCAAGUCGAACGGCAGCACGGGGGCAACCCUGGUGGCGAGUGGCGAACGGGUGAGUAAUACAUCGGAACGUGCCCAGUCGUGGGGGAUAACGUAGCGAAAGCUACGCUAAUACCGCAUACGAUCUGUGGAUGAAAGCGGGGGACCGUAAGGCCUCGCGCGAUUGGAGCGGCCGAUGGCAGAUUAGGUAGUUGGUGGGGUAAAGGCCUACCAAGCCGACGAUCUGUAGCUGGUCUGAGAGGACGACCAGCCACACUGGGACUGAGACACGGCCCAGACUCCUACGGGAGGCAGCAGUGGGGAAUUUUGGACAAUGGGCGCAAGCCUG